UUAAUUGAUUAUGACGUACUUGUACUGAUUGAGAUUUUAACACGAAGUGAGUGGCGAACGGGUGAGUAACACGUGGGUAACCUGCCCAGAAGUAGGGGAUAACACCUGGAAACAGAUGCUAAUACCGUAUAACAGAGAAAACCGCAUGGUUUUCUUUUAAAAGAUGGCUCUGCUAUCACUUCUGGAUGGACCCGCGGCGUAUUAGCUAGUUGGUGAGGUAAAGGCUCACCAAGGCAGUGAUACGUAGCCGACCUGAGAGGGUAAUCGGCCACAUUGGGACUGAGACACGGCCCAGACUCCUACGGGAGGCAGCAGUAGGGAAUCUUCCACAAUGGACGCAAGUCUGAUGGAGCAACGCCGCGUGAGUGAAGAAGGGUUUCGGCUCGUAAAGCUCUGUUGUUAAAGAAGAACGUGGGUAAGAGUAACUGUUUACCCAGUGACGGUAUUUAACCAGAAAGCCACGGCUAACUACGUGCCAGCAGCCGCGGUAAUACGUAGGUGGCAAGCGUUAUCCGGAUUUAUUGGGCGUAAAGCGAGCGCAGGCGGUCUUUUAAGUCUAAUGUGAAAGCCUUCGGCUCAACCGAAGAAGUGCAUUGGAAACUGGGAGACUUGAGUGCAGAAGAGGACAGUGGAACUCCAUGUGUAGCGGUGAAAUGCGUAGAUAUAUGGAAGAACACCAGUGGCGAAGGCGGCUGUCUGGUCUGCAACUGACGCUGAGGCUCGAAAGCAUGGGUAGCGAACAGGAUUAGAUACCCUGGUAGUCCAUGCCGUAAACGAUGAUUACUAAGUGUUGGAGGGUUUCCGCCCUUCAGUGCUGCAGCUAACGCAUUAAGUAAUCCGCCUGGGGAGUACGACCGCAAGGUUGAAACUCAAAAGAAUUGACGGGGGCCCGCACAAGCGGUGGAGCAUGUGGUUUAAUUCGAAGCUACGCGAAGAACCUUACCAGGUCUUGACAUCUUCUGACAGUCUAAGAGAUUAGAGGUUCCCUUCGGGGACAGAAUGACAGGUGGUGCAUGGUUGUCGUCAGCUCGUGUCGUGAGAUGUUGGGUUAAGUCCCGCAACGAGCGCAACCCUUAUUACUAGUUGCCAGCAUUAAGUUGGGCACUCUAGUGAGACUGCCGGUGACAAACCGGAGGAAGGUGGGGACGACGUCAAAUCAUCAUGCCCCUUAUGACCUGGGCUACACACGUGCUACAAUGGAUGGUACAACGAGUCGCGAGACCGCGAGGUUAAGCUAAUCUCUUAAAACCAUUCUCAGUUCGGACUGUAGGCUGCAACUCGCCUACACGAAGUCGGAAUCGCUAGUAAUCGCGGAUCAGCAUGCCGCGGUGAAUACGUUCCCGGGCCUUGUACACACCGCCCGUCACACCAUGAGAGUUUGUAACACCCAAAGCCGGUGGGGU
rnacentral:rRNA from 1 species